CCUACGGGAGGCUGCAGUGAGGAAUAUUGGUCAAUGGACGCGAGUCUGAACCAGCCAUGCCGCGUGAAGGAAGACUGCCCUAUGGGUUGUAAACUGCUUUUAUAAGAGGAUAAAUCGAGGUACGUGUGCCUUUCUGAAUGUACUUUAUGAAUAAGGAUCGGCUAACUCCGUGCCAGCAGCCGCGGUAAUACGGAGGAUUCGAGCGUUAUCCGGAUUUAUUGGGUUUAAAGGGAGCGUAGGCGGGUUGAUAAGUUAGUUGUGAAAUUCUGAGGCUCAACUGUAGAAUUGCAUUUGAUACUGGUAGGCUAGAGAGCAGUUGCGGUAGGCGGAAUGUAUGGUGUAGCGGUGAAAUGCUUAGAGAUCACACAGAACCCCGAUUGCGAAGGCAGCUUACUAAACUAUUUCUGACAUUGAGGCACGAAAGCGUGGGGAGCAAACAGGAUUAGAUACCCGAGUAGUC
rnacentral:rRNA from 1 species